GGAUUCCCUGCAACAGAGUGGAACAUCAUGUAGUGAUACCCAUGGCCCAGGGAAGAACCACAGUAAUGGUGACAUCACAGGUCAUGCAAAUACUCAGUGCUUUCUGCUUUGCGAUGGAUUUCUCCCUUUGGUCCAAUUGUCCCUUGGGGCCCUGGAAGACCCCUAUCACCCUUCUCCCCUUGCUCCCCUGUGGGCCCGAUGAGACCAAUCAGACCGGUGUGGCCCUUCUCACCCUUCGCCCCUGGGUCACCACGCAGACCAAGCAACCCUGGGGGUCCCUGCAUGGGGGAGCAUGUCAAGGGGGACCAGGAAGUCCGUUUUCACCAGUGGGCCCAGGAGAGCCCUGAUUGGGACAGAGUCAAAGGAUCAUUGAGCUGCAUGAUCACAAGAAGACAUCACUACAAUUACAAUAACCAUCAGUUAUUUAUAAUCAUAAUGAUAAUGAUUAACAGCAUCAGCUACUGUGGGUCACUGACCGGCUCUCCUUGUUCACCAUCCUCCCCUCUCUCCCCCUUUGCUCCAUCUUGACCCUGAAAUACAAGCCAUUUAGUUGCUCGAGGGAGCACAUGCGUACUAUGAAAUGCAGAGAAGCAUAUAUGGCUGCAUAUAUCGUCGUGGGGUUUCCUCCGGGUACUCCGGUUUCCCCCUACAGUCCAAAAACAUGCACGAGUGAAUGGUGUGUGAGUGUGCCCUGCGAUGGGCUGGCCCCCCAUCCUGGGUUGUUCCCUGCCUCGUGCCCAUUGCCUCCGGGAUAGGCUCCGGACCCCCCGCGACCCAGUAGGGUAAGUAUUAAAGAAAUAUAAAACAGUAACAGCUUAUGUCUUCCUGAUUUCCAAACUGUUAGACCUAAUUUGUUGUACUGGCAUUUUGUAUAAUUUUUUUGUGUUCAAUAUGAUUUUUUUUGACCAUCUAAUAGCUCGAUUAUAAAGACUACAAACAUAAUGUCUGCUGUAAAAUUGUACUCACUAUAUUGUUUAGGAACUUGUAGUAACUGAAAGAUUACCUUGAGUAUUUAGUCAGUAACACUUGAAUACUACUGAAUACUCACUCUUGGUCCGACUUCACCAGUAGGGCCAGGAUCACCAGGGAAACCAACAGGGCCCUAUGAAAGAUAAGCAAAUCAAAUGGAUAAAGGUCAAAAAGCAAUAAAAACAGAAAAUUUUGUAUUUCUUCUGUGUUGUUUUCCAACUACCAGUUUGGUUGUCUGUUUAACAUUUACGCACUGGGUUUCCUUUCGGACCGUCAUCUCCAGUCGGGCCUCUUCCACCUGCAGGACCAGGGGUUCCUGGCUGUCCAGCCUCUCCCUUCUCGCCACGCUCUCCACGAGGACCCUGCCAUUGGACAUGGAUGCUUAUCAAUCAAACUGCUCUGUGACAUCAUUCGCAAAGAAUAGUGAGCCAGCGCAGUGAUUAUCUGAGAUUCCCCAGGUUCUCCCUUUCAAAAAUGACAGGGUUACCCAAUCCACCCGGAGGGCCUUGAGGACCCUGAAGGGGUAGAAGAAACAUACAAUGGACUCCCAGACAGUUAAUUUCAGUAUUCUCCAGUGAGGGAUUAAAGAAUUGACCAAAAUCAACAAAAAUGUUUUGUUCUAUAAUGGUCAUUUUAACAACUGCCAUUACGAAGUGCUGCUCUGCCAACCUUCUGCACCUGUUACCUCACUGUAAAUGAAAGGCUUUGACAGACUUACAUCUGCUCCACUGGGGCCCGCAGGACCACGGGGGCCAGGCGGCCCUGGAGGUCCCUACAGAUGACAGAUAAGAGAUGAGAGAAAAAGAAAGCAACAUGACCUCAAUGAAGAUAUUACUAUCAAAUUAACAUAAAAACAAUGGAAGCACUGGACAGAAGAGGAGGCUGAUUGGUUUGAAGUGACAAGGUCACUCACCAUUGAUCCCCCGUCUCCUGUCUCUCCUUUCUCUCCUGAAGGCCCUGGCAAUCCCUAAAUAACACAUUUUUCAAAAUAAAGAAACCAUAGUCAUGAACGAACUUAAUAUGUGGUCUUUAUGCAGACAAGGGAAUUAAUAAAGACAAGGUUUGUGAAGCAAAGAUGGUUCUUCAUGUAGGGCUAGAGGAACACUGACG